CAAGUGAUCCGCCCGCCUCGGCCUCCCAAAGUGCUGGGAUUACAGGCGUGAGCCACCGCGCCCGGCCAAUUUCUAAGGCUCCAUUAGGGCUAAGGUUCAUGUAUCCAUGGUGAAGUAUAGAAGAACUCAGAAUCGUUCCAAACAUAAUGGGCUUGGAGUAAUGGAGAACUCCAAGGGCAGGAGGUAACCAUUAAAGAGGACCAUCAUGUAGUGUGAGGAGUCAACAUUUCACACUAGAAAGCCCUUGGUUCAAGUUUUGUCUCUGCCACCUACAGAUUUUGUAACCCUGAGGAAACUAGCUACCUCUUUAUGUACUGCCCUAUGGAGAGGCACACAUGUCAAGAAACUGAGGGAGUGCCUUCCAGUCAACAGCCAGCCAGGAACUAAGGUGCUCAGUACAGCAGCCUCCACAAAGGACUGAACAAUGCCAACAGCUAUUUGACUGUGCUUGGAAGAUCUCCGUUUAGUUAACCCUUCAGAUGAGACCGCAGCCCUGGCCAGCAAACAAAUUGCAGCCUAUGGAAAGACCUUAAGGCAGAAGCACCCAACUGAACCACCCGAGGGCUCUGACUUACAGAAACUGUGAGCAUGAAAUGGCCUCUACCUUAUUUUGAAUGGAUUUCUG
rnacentral:lncRNA from 1 species